UGUGAUACAUAGUCACAGAUUUAUUGAAUGACUUGAUUUAUUUAAGCUCAUGGAUGAACAAGUGUAAAUACAUGUUGCGACUGUACGACCGACGCUAACUGACGAGUUGAAGUUCUCUGGGAUGGGUGGACGUGUGUUUAACUUUUAAGUGCAUCUUUUUACCGGGAUUUUACUACAAUUGGCGAUUAAUAUGUAGAAUCCAGCAGCAGAGGACUGAACAAUAAGAUAUAAUCUGAAGGUCAGCCAGAACACCAAGUCCCCGCCCCCCGCGACCCCCAAACUCGAACUCCGAGUCAAGCUCUGCCCCCUCCCAGCAGUCACCACGCCCACACUACACGAAGAUGAGGGGGCGGUGAGUCAGUGGGUGGCGAGUCAGUGGGCGACGAGUCAGUGGGUGGUGAGUCAAUGGGUGACAAUUUAUUGAGUGGUAAGUUAGUGGGCGGUGAAUGAGUGGGCGGUGAGGUGAAGUUAUUAGGGUGGCAGUGGGUGAGGGGAUGGUGAGUUCUAGGGCUAUCGUGGUUCUAAGUUCUUCACUGAUCUGGGUUCUAAAUCCUGAUAUAUAAAUCAUUUUGGUAAGAGUAUUCAACCAAUAUCCAGCGAUUGUAAAUUUCGACCCUCAUCUUCCAUUACCCCGUGCGGCACCAGGCCAGCUAGUUCAGAUGUCCUCCCUGUAAAGGAUUCUGAGGGACACUUGACCAUUUAUCUUACAUAUCGAGGUUUGUGUACGCUAUCUGACUGGCUCAUUUAAGAUAUACUUUAUAAAUUGUGCUGCUUAAAUUAGUCAAAGUUGAAUUAAGGUUCUAAAGUAUCUAUUGAUUAUCUCCAAUGAUUAAAGAGAAAACAAAUAUUAACGUAGGAUUUUUUGAGAAUUCAGACCCUGGGUGUGGACGUGCCCUGGGUCUACACGUGCCCUGGGUCUACACGUGCCCGGGGUCGACACGUGCUUGGGUGUACACGUGCCCUGAGUGUGGUUCACUAAUGCCUUGGCAAAUGAACCUGGCCAAUCACACAGACACCCUGGCCAACACAAGUGAUACAAGAGCAGGGUACAAAAACUAUCUUCUUUUUAGUUACUGGAGCUCUAUGGUUUAACUGUGUGUGUGUGUGUGUGUGUUGUGGGAAGGUGUACUGUAUAUGGGCCAUUGGUCCUCUCCGCACCGCCACCAUUAUCACAACCAUUAUCAUCACCAUCACCACUACUAUCACCACUACCACCGCUAGUACUACUACCACCACUACCACCACCACUCACAGCUUUUACUAUUACCACCAUCACUACAACCACCUCCACUACCACUAUCACCACCACUACUGCAAGGAAGUGUGUGUGUGAGGCAAGAAUCAGCCUAGCCUGGAUGAAGCACCAACUUUCACACACUUCUUUCUGUCUACCACUAACUCUGUACCGCCUGUGUUGCGUGCGAUGCAAGGCGCUACACCCAGCCACCUCUUGCAACAUCACUUUCCAGACAUAAACACUCCCUCUUGCCACCACCUCCACCAGCACACCUCGGCCGCAGGAGGAAACUACGAUAAUUUGUUCUCCCUAACUUAAGAAAAGAGAGUUAAUUGAAGUUAAAUAUCAGUGUAAUUACGAUGGUAUUAGAGCCGCCGCCACCAUUGUCUCGAAGCUCACCUGACCCGUUCAUAGCUCGUCUCUGUAUCGGGGAAAAUCUAACUUAGGUAACUCUUGAACCCGCUCGUGUCCUGGUGCACUGUACCCAGGCUGAUUCACCAACACUGUGUCCUGUUAUAUCAACUCACACACACACACACACACACACACACACACCAUAAAAAUAAAAAGUUAUCCCUAUUUGGCAAAAACGUCAGUUGGUUUUCAAAGCUUCAUCAACGAUUACCUCCUAUUUAGCGUAUACAUACAUACAUACAUACAUACAUACAUACAUACAUACAUACAUACAUACAUA
rnacentral:misc_RNA from 1 species